rnacentral:rRNA from 1 species
UACGUAGGGUGCAGGCGUUAAUCGGAAUUACUGGGCGUAAAGCGUGCGCAGGCGGUUUGCUAAGACAGGUGUGAAAUCCCCGGGCUUAACCUGGGAACUGCGCUUGUAACUGGCAAGCUGGAGUGUGGCAGAGGGGGGUGGAAUUCCACGUGUAGCAGUGAAAUGCGUAGAUAUGUGGAGGAAUACCGAUGGCGAAGGCAGCCCCCUGGGAUAACACUGACGCUCAUGCACGAAAGCGUGGGGAGCAAACAGG